UUUUUGAAUAUAAUUUAAAGUAGGGCCUGCCCACUGAGUAAUUGAAGGGCCGCAGUAUUUUGACUGUGCAAAGGUAGCAUAAUCAUUAGUUUUUUAAUUGAAAGCUUGUAUGAAUGGUUUGAUGAGAAAAUUUCUUUCUAUAUUUAAAUUUUUGAAAAUUUUAUUUUUAAGUUAAAAAGCUUAAAUAUUUUUAAUAGACGAGAAGACCCUAUAGAGUUUGAUUAUUAAUAAUUAUUUUAUAUUUGUAGAAUUUUGAUUUUUUAUAAUAUUAAUAAUUUGAUUGGGGUGAUUGAAAAAUUUGAAAAACUUUUUCUUUUUUAUUACAUAUAUUAAUGAAUUUUUGAUCCAAUAUUUUUGAUUAAAAGAUUAAAUUACCUUAGGGAUAACAGCGUUAUUUUUUUUUAGAGUUCAAAUCGAAAAAAGAGAUUGCGACCUCGAUGUUGGAUUAAAGUUAAUUUUUGGUGUAGAAGCUAAAAUAUUUGGUCUGUUCGACCAUUAAAACUUUACA
rnacentral:rRNA from 1 species